GGGAGAGGGCGCGGCGAGGGGCUCCGCGGCGGGCGCCCGACUUGUUUGCCGGCUCCGGGGCCGCGAGACGCUCGGAGGGAGCCCGCCCGGCUCGGGUGGGCUGGGCUGGGCUGGGCUGGGCGGCCGGGAGGGAGCGCGCCCCGGGUCGCGCCGGCGCCCGCGAGCCAUGGACCCGAAGGCUGGCGGCGGCGGCGACGAGGAGGACUGCGUGGACUCGGGCGCCGAGACCGGAGGGUCUGACUACAGCCACCUGUCCUCCACCAGCAGUGAGCUUUCCGUGGAAGAGGCGCAGGACCCUUUCCUGGUCAGCAUCCACAUAAUCGCAGACCCAGGGGAGUCCCAAGCCCUGCAGGAGGCCAUCGACAAGGUCUUGGCGUGGAUCCACCCCGACCUGCCGCUGUUCCGGGUGUCCGAGAGGCGCGCGUGCAGGCGGCGGCGGAAGGCCCCCAAGGGCGCGCAGCCCGCGCUGGCCGUGGUGCUGUUCCUGCAGGAGGAGUACGGCGAGGAGCAGAUCCUGCAGCUGCACCGCACGCUGCAGCGGCCGCCCUGGCGCCACCACCACACGGAGCGCGUGCAGGGCCGGUUCCUGCCCUACCUGCCCUGCAGCCAGGACUUCUUCACGCUGGCCCCCGGGACGCCGCUGUGGGCCAUCCGGCCCGUGCACUAUGGCAAGGAGAUCGUGCGCUUCACCAUCUACUGUAGCCACGACAACUAUGCCGACAGCCAGCGGUUCUACGAGCUGAUUCUCCGGCGGACCCCCAGCCAGAGGAAAACGGACUUCUGCAUCUUCCCUGUUUUCUCUAAUCUGGACGUGGACAUCCAGUUCUCCCUGAAAAGGCUGCCCUGUGACCAGAGCCCGGUCCCCACCGACUCCUCCGUGCUGGAGUUCCGAGUAAGGGACAUCGGGGAGCUCGUGCCUCUCCUGCCCAACCCCUGCAGCCCCAUCAGUGAGGGGCGCUGGCAGACGGAGGACCACGACGGGAACAAGAUCCUUCUGCAGAGCUCACAGCCCUGCCACCACCGCUUGCCAGGAGCUGCCGGGGACCGUUCCCUCCGCCCAGCUUUGCCCUUGCCAGACAAGGUGAACCGGUGACAGCCAUGGAGGUGAGCACUCCCGGGCACCUGGCAGCAGGCUCAAGACUGUGACCCAACCACAGGUGACUCUCCCAGGGAACGCUGCCUGGUCACGUUCUGUCCUGGGUCUAACCCGGCCUUUGUUCUCAAAUUCAGUAAAUGCCAGAGCUUUCCGCCCGGUGUGUGCUGCCCUUCCUUGCCUGUCCCGCGUGCUGGCCCUGGCCCCUCUUACACAUUCGGCCGCGUGUUUGGGUGCUAGACCUAAAUUUCGGCUUCCUGCCACAUACCCAUGAUUCUGGGUUUCCCUGUGCCCCCAGAUCAACCCACACAAGCCACCACACACACUUAUACACAAAAAAGGACCAGCUCCUCCUCUGGAAUUCCUCAGUUCUGUUAAUGGUUUCUUCUCUCUCUUCAUUCACAUUCGGACACCGGGAGUGAAGGCCCAGGACAGCCUAGUAGAAGGGAACAGGGUUUCAGAGUCACACAUACCCAAGUUCAAAUCCCACCGCUGACACUCACUAGCAGGGUGACCCCAAUCAGGAUAAAAUGUGAAAUAUAUAAAAUGCCCUUGACCAUGUAGGAUGAUGUGGAGAAAGAUUGCAAAAAUGUGUGUCAAAGUAGAAUGGCUUUUGCUUCCAAGUGGUAGAAUCAUGGGUGGUACUGGUUCUGUUUCAUUUUCCUUUUGGAACUUGACAUAGUUUCUAUGAUAAGCAUUGGUGAAUUUCAUAAUUAAAUGGCAAAGAUAAUAAAACUGAAGAAACUCACCCCUUCGAGUGUUCUCCAUCUUCACGUCACAUCUGGCCUCUCCUGCUCACCCGUCCUCUCCAGGUCUCUGUCUUUCUGCUCCUCGCUUCCCCUCCCGCCCCGGUUACACAGGCGGUAUAGACCAGUGGUUACAGCAGGUGUCUCUUAAUCCUUCACCUGAACAAGUUCCUUAACCUCCUGUGACUCAGUUUCCUCCCCUAUAAAGUGACAUUCAAAUACUCACUUCACCUCAAAGAGUAUCUGUCUUCAUGGUGCAGAAACUGCCUUCAUGGAGCGCUGCAGGCCGGCACCAUGAGGACGUCAGCAGGACAGCCCGAGAGACCAGCGGCCCCAUCCUCAUCCUCACCUAUCAUGCGAUCCUCCUAGACUGGGGGCCGGGCAUCUAGCGGGUGCUCAGGAGGUAUUUGUGGAAGGGAUGAAUGAAUGGAUGCCUACGUGAAUGAGGACUGUUGAUCAGGUAUUUGUAUAAUUUUUUGGACAACUCCAGAGUACAUGGUAUAUCAGAUUCCUUUGUUUCUAGGGAUCAAAUGUUACCUCCCAAAGCAUCCACCUGCUGUGCCCCUAGGGAAUUCCAUCCCAGCCUUCACUGGGGCUCCCAUGCCUUCCCCGGGGAUCACACCGUAAUACUGGCUUGUGCAGCUCCAGAUCAAGGGAGGGGCUGGCUGGUCCGUGGUGGCAGCCACUGGGGCGACAAGAGUGGAACCCUGGUCUGUGUGGGACAGGCAUGUGCCUCAAGCAGGCUCACAGAAGGCCCCACAACUGUCCCCAUCCCACCGCCCCAGAUCCUGCUGUUACAACAUGGAAGCAUAAAAGCAGAGCCAUACCUUUUAGUGGUUCGUACUCUUCCAGUAGAAACAAACCUUUACGCGUGCACGUGCCCUGCACUAAGUGACCGCAGUAGUACAGGUAGGAAGCAUCCCGCCUCGCCCCAGGGUGGACAGCAAACCCUACCUGGGGGACCUAGGGAAGGCUUGCCCAGGAGGCGAAUGCCUGUGCUCGGUCUGGGAGAAUUCGUGGGAGUUCAGGAUGCCGGAGGAGAGAGACACGGAGUAGCUUUGGUGAUACCAGAAAUGUUGGUGAACAUGAGGGGAGAAAUCCUGGACCCAGCUCUUAUUUUGAAAAAAAAAAAAAAGAAUCUCCAGUGAGAUUCUGCCUCCUGCCUUCAUCAAUGGAUAUCGAGCAAACCCGCAUUGGCUGUUGGCCCGAGGGUCGCAGAGUGAUCGCAAAGGCCUCUGCUCGCCGUGGGAAAAUGAAUGCAGAGAGAAAUAGGCAUCAAUUUAACAUUCCUCGGAAAGUCCUUGUAAAAGAGCAGAGUAUCCAAGAUACCCUCCAAAGCCACUCAGCGUCACAGGGAGACCAGCACCACGUGCGUUCACUUGGUAGUGGACAAAAUGAUCUUGGCUGUAGAUCAAAUUUACGGUGAGGUUGAGCUGUGCUUUUAUGUGCUGAAUGCAUGCUGGAGAGUACACGGGGCCUUUCUGGAAACUGCCCGUUACUGUGUAUGGAACUUGCAGCAUCACUUUGCCGGUUGAAAUUACUCCAGCUUUAUUGCUCUUACUUUGCUUUUAUGGGCUACUGUUCCUCGUAUCUAUCCUUCAUUCACCGCUGUGCCCUCAGUCAGCAGAGAAACCACCCUACCUCAAUGGACCUACUGAAAAAGACUCUCCAUGUUAAUAAUGAUUAAAUAAACAGCCAGCAUUUAUUGAGAACUUGGUGUGGCAGGCCUUUUGCUAGGCACUUUAUGUGAGAUCACUAUAUGAUCUCAUUCUACCCUAAAUGUAGGAGGUUGUAGUUAUCACCACUUUAGACGCAAGGAAACAGGCAGAGAGAGGAUAAGAAAUUGCCUGAGAUCACACAACCACCCAACAAUAGACUGUCAUCAUGUGUUCAUUCAUUCUUUCUUUUAAGUAAACACACUGAGUGUUGUUAAGUUGCAUCAGAACAUGAGACGCUGUAUAUAACGUGAACUUUCCCCCAUGGAGUUCACCGUACAGCAGGUGAAGUAAAACAACGCACAGGUGUCUAGAAGAGAGAGUGAGGCGCGUGACAAGGAACGUGAGCACUGUAUUCUUAUAGGACUGGGGACUCCUUCCUGCCAGGGCAAGUGACAGCUGAGCCGGGCUUUGAAGGGAGGUAAAAUUUUAAGAAUAAGAUGUGAGAAGGCCCUUCCAAGCAGGAACAAUUCUUAAGCUCCCCCAAAAUGAGAAUAAUAAAACCAGCACAUCCAGUAUAACCUAUUUUAUUAUAAUUUAUUAUUUUGAUAAUAAAAUGCAUUUUAGUUAUGUAUUCACAUAUUCCAUUGUAAGCACAAGUCACAGUCCUGUUCUUCUCAGAGACGGCACUUGAGUCUGGUGGAAAACAUCCGGUAGGGGUAGCACAGAGUUGUUUGGGACACAACUCAGGUUUCCAAAGUCUUAAGCAGAUUCUAAUAAAACUCUCCCUGUUGACUGGGUUAUGGUCAUUGGCAAACUAUAAAUUGUCUUCCUGUAAAUGGGAAAGUCCUGCUUGUCGCAGGUGGAGGCAGGAGCGUGACUGCUUUGGGGGUCUGAACUCUGCCUUUGAAGGGCAGGCAGGAGGACCCGUGUGUGAAGAUCUGCCAGUAUGAAAGUCAAAGUUACAAAAUUCCAGGCCUGCCCAUGGUCAGUUAUCGCACUCAGGGCCACAUAGUCCCUCAGGGCUACAAGUGUCCUUGUCACACUGGUGAUUCAACAGGGAUACCAGCUUCACUUCUUCCCUCUGCAAUCAGGGGUGGGGGGGAGCCUGGGCAAGGGGAUUUGGGGGCCCCCUCACCUUCCUAGUUCGGGGUGAGAGAAAGAAAAAAUGGGACUGAGCCUCUCUUUCUCCUGCCUUCACUCGCAGUCCGGAGCUGAAUUCUACCCCCAGUUUGAUGAUUGAGCAGAAAGAAAGAGGAGAGAGAAACAAGUAGAGAGGUAAAGAGGGCAGCAAGGAGGAUGGAAGAAAUAGGAAGUUCCCACAUGGGAAUCAAAGAAACUCACCCCUGUCUGCCCCUCCUCACCGCUGUGGUCCCCAGAGAGCAGGGGUGAGGCUGGGCGGGGUUCCGGGCAUCUCUCGGAGGGCUUCCCUCAACACUGUGCCUUCAGCACCUUUACAGCACUUUGUACCUGCUUUGGUUUAUUGUCUUUUUUGCAGUGGUGUAACAGACUUUAAUUCAACAUAGAUGCUCUGAAAACAAUAGGUUAAAGAAAAUAAAGUUGGACAAGCUUGAUUUUGAAUUUACAACAAAGCACACCAACAGUCACAGGCCAAUUUCACAAUUGCCUCAAAAACGCACAGUAUAGCAAUGACAUGCAAGUAAUCUAUAUUAAAAAAUGCAUACAGUAAUAUUAUUAUAUUUCUGGGGGUCCGUCACAUCCUCCAGAUAUUUCUACCUAAAGCCAGGUUCCUCUGCUAUGUCCUGCCAGCCAUGUGGCUUAGGGUUUGACCUGGUCUCCCUUGCUGGCUCUGGUGUUUUAGGUUAUUUUACAUUGUGUGGAGGAAAAAAAAAACCUGCUUUGGUUUAAAGGGGAAAGGAUAUAUAUCUCCACACUACCCCAUGUGGGCCAUGGGGACGGGUAUUUUAAAACUCUUGUCACAAAUAAGGAUAAUUGGACACAGAAAGGAAUCGCAAUGCAGCCAAGAUCAGACAGUUUAUCAAAGUCAGAUCUGUGACAUUUCUAACUAGGUCGCUGGAUGUCAAACAUUCUCAAAACAAAAUGAGUAUGAACUUGCUGGAUUUGGCAAGUUACGGCGUUCAUCUGGAGUUGGGGGGGUGGGGAGAGGAGUGGCGGGAGGAAAGGAAGAAGCUGAGUCCAGCUGUGGCGAGAACGCACACAGCAGACAAAGUGGAACACGUAGACAAAGGAGCCCCUGGCCCCACACGUGGAGUUCAGCCUUCGAUGAAGGCCGUUUGUGCAGGUCAGCGCUCGUCGCAGAGCUCCCUCAAGUCAUCAGUUUGUCCAGCUUUUCCUCAGCUAAGUACAAUCGGUUUGGGGAUGUAUUUGAUUUUGUAUCCCCAACAUCGCGUCUUCAAAGCAACGCGAAAAUCCUGUCUGGAUUUUCGUCUGCUCGUUUAAUUACCCUGUCUGAGAUUCCGUCCUGCAUCGCGUCGCCUCUAGACAGUGUAAAGAUGGCACCGUAGUUAAGACAGUCCUGCUGAAUUGCAAAUGUCUCCCGUGCACUUGGCAACGCGCUGCCCUGCCACAGAUCUCUAGCAGGGCACCAGAAACCAGCAUGUUCUCAACGGCUGAACCAGAAAUAGCCCAAGAGGAUAUUUGCACCAAAUGGUGAGGGAGGCCGGGGGGAAGAUUUAAACGCUGAGGGAAAAUGUGUGAUGAAGGAACACAGACAUACGAGUUAAUGGAAGCUGUUUUUAUAUUAAACGGAAUAAAAUAAUGUAUUUGCAAAAGCCUUGGUGAAGUCAUGCCUGACACUAAUGUUUGUAUUCUGUGUCCCUGAUCCAUUCCAAUUACUAUCUUCAGGGCUACUAUAGCAUUAGCCUAAUUAGAGCCAGUGUCAAAGCCAAUGUCCAGUGUUGAAAGGCCAUCCCACAUUCGGGAGAGACAGCGUUUAACCCCAUUUCUGGAUUACAGAGGAUUCCAAAUGUCCUAUGGAACGGAAGAGUUAGAAAGCCAUCUCUACAGGAGACAGAAGGAGGAGUUUUUAUCUCCAGCCAUGUCCAACCCUUCAUCUUGUAUGUUUAUGGCAGAAAAAUUCUAAAAUAAUCUAAUAGGUUAAAGGAGGGAAUGUACGCACACCUCACUGGAAUAGCUACCCUUUCAUUCACUGAGUGUCAACUAUAUGCCAGACAUUGUGCUAAAUGCUUUACUAACAUUCUCUUUUUAAUCCUCAGAAUAACCCAGUAUGAUCGGUUUUAGGAUAUUUAUUUUAUCCACGACAGAAGGGAGACUUGGUGAGAUUGAAUACGCUGUCCAAUGGCAUACAGCUAAUUACUAGCUGUGUCAAGUUUCAAGCCCAGAUCUGUCAGAUUGCGAAGACCUUGCUCUAAGUCACCAUGCGGUCCUGUCUGCCCACCAUUUGGCUUGAAGUCGUUCUUUGCUGUAAACAACAGAACCUAGUCUCCUAAUUGUAUGUAGAAAGAAAUUUGUGAAAGGAUGCCGGACGGAUCCCGGAGUCUCUGAAGGGGCAGAGACCCAGGCCUAAAGGCCACACCACCAGGAAUCAGGUAGCCAGGAGGGAAACCAAACUGCUCUUUGGGAUGUUUCUAGCAGAAAUGCCACUGCCGCUCUGACCCACGGCUGGUCCUGGUCAUGCCUGGGACUGGGUAUCAGAUUCUCCACUAAAACUGCCCUGGAAAAGCCAGAAGUCUCUAUAACCACACAGUGUACCCCGCACUGCUGAGGUUGCUCACUUUCCAUUCAGGUCCUGGGCAAAUGCUUCCCAUUAAGUCACAUGGCUGCACCUUGUUGCAAGGGAUUCUGGGAGAUGUAGUUUGGAGUGUUUUUCUUGAGACUCAUGGAAUCUGUGGGGCAAAAACAAGGUACACAGAAAGAUUUAAGUCCACUAUCAUCAAGCAUUUCCUGAGGACCUACUAUGCACAGAACAUGGCACUAGAGUCAAGAAUCUCAACCAUGAGGAAACAUGGUCCAAGAGCUGGUCCUUGGAGGUGUGGAAUCUGAGGAUAAAAAGAAAGUGGUCGCCGGGCGUGGUGGCUCACGCCUGUAAUCCUAGCACUCUGGGAAGCCGAGGCGGGCGGAUUGCUCA